AGAGAGUCUUAUUUUAUCAUAAAAUAUUGUUUAAAAUGUGAUGUGAUUUUUUACAUUAAAUUUUACUAUUUAACACAACGGAAUCAAUUCUAGUUUCUACAUAGUCGUCGUUGACAGAAAAUGUUCCAACCAUAUUUGUGAAAACGUGUCUUAAAGCUUAUUUUAUAUUCAAGUCCAGUCAUUUUAGAGCGUGAAACAGUGUGGUCACGAGCGAACGUAGGCCGAAAUGAAAUACAACAAACAGAAUGGCCUGAAUGGAAAUUGGCAUAGCGUGAAGUCUGCCAACCGUCAUUAUGGCAAUUAAUUGGCUGCUUGCCGGUAUCUUGUUUAUAAAAAUCUUCAAUUAUUAUACACAUACUCUGUUUAAUGAAAAAUGAUAUAUAAUGGAUAAGAUGAAGUUAAUAGAUUUGAAAAUGUAAUCAGUUGAUUACAUUAAGUGAAACGAGAUGACGUGAUAUUAAGUCUCAAUAAAAAGGUUAUUAACUGAAACUUUAGCGGACGUUUUGGAAGAACCAGAGAAACCACGUGCACACAUUUCUCCACUUUCAUAAAUGCUAAGCGGUUAAUAAACCACCAAUUGAACCUCAUUGAACAGUAAAUUAAACAGCCAAUGAAAAUAAAACAAUUCACACCGCUUUGUUCCUCGUGUUCCUGCUAAAAUCCAAUCUAAUCGGACCUUAGUUUGUUCAUAAACAUGCUCCUAUAAACGUGCUGAUGUAUAAAUGAGCUCGGACCCAGCUUCGGAUGCUAGACGCUCAUGCGAUUCAUAUUAUGAAAUGAGAAUUAAAUUGUCUGUGAAGUAUACAAGAGGAUUACCGCAUAAAAUCGACGUAGGUUAGAACGUUUCACACAGUGCUCUAGCUCCAGUAACUUGUGCAAGUCUGAACGGACGAAGGUCCAUGAUGUGUAAUGUACAAUCUCCUACGCGAUCCUCGUAUGCCUCCACAUACUGGAUUAUAGUAAAUUCAAAAUCAAUUUAAAGUUAGAGCUUUAUUUUGUUUGUUUCAAAUAAAAUACAAAAUUUGGAGACGUUUUAUUGAUCAAAGUAAUCAAAAUGAUGAAAUUCAUGAUGAAAAUACGAACGUCGAGGUGUAUUGUGAACAUGUGAAAAUUGCUUCCUAACGAUUGGUAAAUUCAUUGGAUAUAUGUGGAGGAUGUUCUGAUCUGAUCUGAUCUUGAAAAUAAUCAUUAUUAUAAUUUCUUCGGCCUACCAUUGAAUCACGUAAGGGUGUCAUUCCAUAACGAAUAUCACGCUCAGCUUGGUUUCUCUCAUCACAUAAAAAAUACACAGUAUAAAUACAUUAAUAAAUCCAUGUGUCGCUACACUACCCUAUACGAGUAAAUUAUGGCGCCAACAUUAAAAAGAAUACCGUAUAGUAUCAGAGGAUAGUCUUAUUUAUAGGAAGCUCAUAAAUAUGAAACAAUUUUUCACACAGGCACUGAAAUUUCAAGAAUAGAUAAGGAUACAGGUGAAUUAUUUACAAGUGGGACGUGGCAUUGUAAAGCAAAAAAAAAUAUUUAGAAGAUAUAUUACAGAUAUUUUAAAUGUUUGUCGUUUUAUAUAGCUGGAGGGAAAUUGAGGCAUUUCACAUAACCAUCGACGGAACUCGCUCGGGGAUCCGCCUACGAAAAAUAGCUUUCCCGAUAAAAUAUGAUUUUGUGCGAUCUUUUUUAUUACUUAUACUCGGGGGAAGUUUGCAGGUUUAUAGUCUAAGUCUGGGUUUCGUUAAAUUUGCGAACAUUGUAAAAUACCUUUGUGUUUUUUUUUUGUUUGUGUAAUAUUACGAGUGCUAAGGCGGAAACAAUUUUCAAUUUCGUUCCAAUAAACAUGUUAAAUCAAUUUA